GGCAGUUCUUGGGUGAUACACCCCGGAAUCGGGCUCCCUCCUCCCUGGUUCCAGGGUGCGUCACCCAAGAACUGCU
rfam:Myotis lucifugus cont2.13467, whole genome shotgun sequence.